GUGAGUCAUCGAGUCUUUGAACGCACCUUGCGCCCUUUGGUAUUCCGAAGGGCAUGCCUGUUUGAGUGUCAUUAAAUUCUCAACCUUGCUCGCUUUGCGAGUGAGGCUUGGAUGUGAGGGCUUUGCUGGCUUCCUUCAGUGGAUGGUCUGCUCCCUUUAAAUGCAUUAGUGGGAUCUCUUGUGGACCGUCACUUGGUGUGAUAAUUUAUCUAUGCCUCGUCGUACUUUGAAGCAAAAUUAUGGGAACCUGCUUAUAACCGUCUCGCAAGGGACAAUAUCUAUUGACAUUUUGACCUCAAAUCAGGUAGGACUACCCGCUGAACUUAAGCAUAUCA
rnacentral:rRNA from 1 species